CAAGAAAGUCUAAAGAAAGGCAAGCCUAAAAGAUAAGAAACAAGCAAUGAAUGAGAAGCAACUAUUACAGUGAAGCCAACAUUGCUACUGAAACAAUAAUUCUAAAAAUAAAAAGGACAACCAAAUUUCCAGCUUCCUAAAUCUUCCAAAAGCUUCAUUGAAUGUCUUUUUUUGCACCUUUUUUCGACCGGGUUUGAAUUUCUUCAUUACUAUUAACUCUUGUCAUUUGCAAUUUCUCUUUCUUUUUUUGUCUUUUAGAGGUAUAUGGAGUGUAUUCCUCAUCCUUUUCUGUGAUGACAACAACAUAUCUAUCACUUCCAACCUCGCUCUCUUGAUCAUCAGAUGAUAAGUCCCCCCAAAACUUCUUAAGCACUCUAACACUUUCCAUUGCUUUCUUAGAAGGAGCAUUGGCCAUAGCAGUAUGAGCAGCAAAAGGCCUCUUGUCCAAGGUCAAAGCUGAAUAGCUAGUGAUAGGCAUGGCCAUAGCAGUACAAGUAACCAAGGAGUCACACAUAUCAUUGUGAGAAGACAAACUUUUCUCUCUAGCUUCCCAACCCUUAUCUCUUUGAGUGACCUCAAAUUUGUUAUGAUCCAAAGCCUCAAUCUGAGUUGCAUUAUUAGAACCUUCAAUAGGGAUUCCUUCGAGAGUAAGUUCCUCUUGCUUUGAGUCUUCAAUAGGCUUUCCUGGACCAUUCACCUUUGCAGCCUGAUCACAGAUAACUUUAUCAAGCAACACAGUAGAAGAGGGGUAAACAACGGUGCUGAAGAGUUUGUUGUUGGCUUGCAAAAUGUUUGUAUCAGCUUGUUUUGUUAUAUUGCAGACAAGCUGCUCUUUGUUUUGAGGAACAUGCAUAGGGACCGGAGAUAAAACAGGCAUUGCAGCCCACCUAGAUACAUCAGCAAGACCCAAAGCUUGAUGGACAGAGGCAGAAGUAAUCACUGUAGCUGCAGGCCUUGAUCCACUAGGGAUGGGUACCUCAGAAUCAGUGUCACUCACUGGACAAACAUCUAUAGGAAAAGCCAAAUCAAUCGUCUGUUUAGCAGCCAACUUCCCUGCAGAGGGUGAUUCGGUAUUCAGGUCUAUCUGUAAAGCCUCCCCAUACACAUUAUCAGUCUCAGGAACAAGCAUAUCAAAUGCAUUAUGCAAGGUUAGACGAGCUUCAUCCUCUAUGGCCAAAACAUCAAAAUCAGUAACCUUUUCAGGAUCAUUCAGGGAUUGGACUUGCUUCUUACCAAGAAUCAGAUCGGUAUUAACCACACCCAUAGCAAUACUAUGAGAGGUUGAGGCUUGAUUCUUGGUCGUAUGCUUGUUGUAUAUUUAAAUUGAAGGGACUCUAUCAUUGUUGUGACUUUCUGUGAUACCAACAAAACAGAAGCAUCCUUGCUUUUCUGAACUUCUUGCUUAGUGAAGUUCUUAGGUUGGUAUCCCGAAUAAACUUGGGGUUGAGUAGAAUUCAGUCGGUGACAUUGUUGAAUAUAGUGACCCAAAAGCUUGCAAUGCUGAUAGAAUGCAAGUUUCCUUUUGUACUCCAUUAUAACCGGAAAAGCAUAACCCUCACAUUCAACCACAACAGUUUCAAACAACGUAUCUGACAUAUCCACAUCUACCAAAAUCCGGGCAUAAUGACCAAACAGUCGAGACUGCGUUGCUUUAUUAAUUGAGAUAGGAGUACCAAAUCCAGAAGCAAUAUCAAAAAGAGUAGUUUGCCUCCAAUAUUCUUGGGGGAGAUGCAUAAGCCUAAUCCACAAUUGAGCAUGUGACUGAGUUUGAGUUAGAGGGUCGAAGUCCUUGGACCAAUAGAAAUUUUUUAAGAUUCCAGACUUAAGAUUGACAGAGUUCAUCGCCCAUACCUUUUUCAUAUCCUCCAUAGAUUGGAAUUUGAAUUCAAAGAACCCUCUGCCUAGAGGAGUCACAAACCAAUUCCUUAGUUGUGGCCAUAUUCCAACCAGUUUUUGUUUCAAGCCUCUUGUAGUGAGCGAAGGAUCCCCUUUUUGAAGCGUAACUCGACCGUGAAGAUGAAGUUGGCAAUCUACAAUCUCAGCUUCAUAAACCUUCUGUGAGAUCUUGAUGUAAACCUUGUCCCCCAUGCGAAUUCUAGGAGGGAGACGGUUUGGCUGAGCUUCAUCAGAGGCUGUGACGGCCUGGGCGAAGGAUUUCCCCAAGUUUUCCGGUAGCGCCGUCACCAGAGAAGAGAGGAACGACCAGGUACAGAUCGGAGUAGACAUGACACUACAGCUCCAGUAAGAGCCAAAAAAACCAGAGAAGUUGAAGGAGAUCCAGAAACCCUCCUGGAGCUAAGAGCUUCAACGGUGAAUCGGGAAUAAACAAACUGGAAAAGCAAUAGUAACACAGAAAAAGGGUAGAUCGACUGAAAUAGGUAGGAAAACCAAGAAAAGCGAGGGGAUAAACCCCCGUCGGAACCUCACCGGAGCAGAUGUACGUCAUCAGAGGUUGGGUGUUGAGGAGGGAGAAUACGGUUAUUUUAAAUGCAUUUUUAUUAUAAAAAUAAAAUGUGGGAAUUCGCAACAAAUUAAGUUAAGAUUAGUGUAUUUUUUACUUUGGAUUUGACAAAACUUCGUAAUUGCAUAUUUAUUCAAAGGAAACUGCUAGA
rnacentral:lncRNA from 1 species